rnacentral:tRNA from 1 species
GGUCUCCUAGCUCAGCUGGAGAGAGCGCCCGGCUACGAACCGGGAGGUCGGGGGUUCGACUCCCUCGGAGACCGCCA